rnacentral:rRNA from 1 species
AGUUUGAUCCUGGCUCAGGAUGAACGCUAGCUACAGGCUUAACACAUGCAAGUCGAGGGGCAGCAUGGUCUUAGCUUGCUAAGGCCGAUGGCGACCGGCGCACGGGUGAGUAACACGUAUCCAACCUGCCGUCUACUCUUGGACAGCCUUCUGAAAGGAAGAUUAAUACAAGAUGGCAUCAUGAGUUCACAUGUUCACAUGAUUAAAGGUAUUCCGGUAGGCGAUGGGGAUGCGUUCCAUUAGAUAGUAGGCGGGGUAACGGCCCACCUAGUCUUCGAUGGAUAGGGGUUCUGAGAGGAAGGUCCCCCACAUUGGAACUGAGACACGGUCCAAACUCCUACGGGAGGCAGCAGUGAGGAAUAUUGGUCAAUGGGCGAGAGCCUGAACCAGCCAAGUAGCGUGAAGGAUGACUGCCCUAUGGGUUGUAAACUUCUUUUAUAAAGGAAUAAAGUCGGGUAUGCAUACCCGUUUGCAUGUACUUUAUGAAUAAGGAUCGGCUAACUCCGUGCCAGCAGCCGCGGUAAUACGGAGGAUCCGAGCGUUAUCCGGAUUUAUUGGGUUUAAAGGGAGCGUAGAUGGAUGUUUAAGUCAGUUGUGAAAGUUUGCGGCUCAACCGUAAAAUUGCAGUUGAUACUGGAUAUCUUGAGUGCAGUUGAGGCAGGCGGAAUUCGUGGUGUAGCGGUGAAAUGCUUAGAUAUCACGAAGAACUCCGAUUGCGAAGGCAGCCUGCUAAGCUGCAACUGACAUUGAGGCUCGAAAGUGUGGGUAUCAAACAGGAUUAGAUACCCUGGUAGUCCACACGGUAAACGAUGAAUACUCGCUGUUUGCGAUAUACAGCAAGCGGCCAAGCGAAAGCGUUAAGUAUUCCACCUGGGGAGUACGCCGGCAACGGUGAAACUCAAAGGAAUUGACGGGGGCCCGCACAAGCGGAGGAACAUGUGGUUUAAUUCGAUGAUACGCGAGGAACCUUACCCGGGCUUAAAUUGCAGAUGAAUUACGGUGAAAGCCGUAAGCCGCAAGGCAUCUGUGAAGGUGCUGCAUGGUUGUCGUCAGCUCGUGCCGUGAGGUGUCGGCUUAAGUGCCAUAACGAGCGCAACCCUUGUUGUCAGUUACUAACAGGUUCCGCUGAGGACUCUGACAAGACUGCCAUCGUAAGAUGUGAGGAAGGUGG